GCAAGUCGAACGAGGUACUUUUGUAGUAAUACGAAAGUGUCCUAGUGGCGAACGGGUGAGUAACGCGUUGGUGACCUACCCCAAAGUGUGGGAUAACAGUUCGAAAGGAUUGCUAAUACCGCAUGUGGUCUUCGGAUUUAGAAACUGAUGACUAAAGGAGUAAUCCGCUUUGGGAGGGACCUGCGUCCCAUCAGCUAGUUGGUGAGGUAAUGGCUCACCAAGGCUACGACGGGUAGGGGACCUGAGAGGGUGACCCCCCACAAUGGAACUGAAACACGGUCCAUACACCUACGGGUGGCAGCAGUAGGGAAUAUUGCACAAUGGGCGAAAGCCUGAUGCAGCAACGCCGCGUGUGCGAUGAAGGCCUUCGGGUCGUAAAGCACUUUUCUGAGGGAUGAGCAAGGACAGUACCUCAGGAAUAAGUCUCGGCUAACUACGUGCCAGCAGCCGCGGUAAAACGUAGGAGGCAAGCGUUAUCCGGAUUCACUGGGCGUAAAGCGCGUGCAGGCGGUUCGGUAAGUUGGGCGUGAAAUCUCCUGGCUUAACUAGGAGAGGUCGUUCAAUACUACCGGACUUGAGAGUGGUAGAGGAAGAUGGAAUUCCCGGUGUAGUGGUGAAAUGCGUAGAUAUCGGGAGGAACACCAGUGGCGAAAGCGAUCUUCUGGACCAUUUCUGACGCUCAGACGCGAAAGCUAGGGUAGUAAACGGGAUUAGAGACCCCGGUAAUCCUAGCCGUAAACGAUGUAAACUUGGCGUCGGUGGCUUAAACUCCAUCGGUGCCGCAGCUAACGCGAUAAGUUUACCGCC
rnacentral:rRNA from 1 species